GUGUCAGCAGCCGCGGUAAGACAGAGGAGGCUAGCGUUGUUCGGAAUCACUGGGCUUAAAGCGGGUGUAGGCGGCCUGGCAAGUGUCGUGUGAAAGCCCCCGGCUCAAUCGGGGAAUUGCAUGGCAAACUGCCAGGCUUGAGGUCGGUAGGGGUGCCUGGAACUCUCGGUGGAGCGGUGAAAUGCGUAGAUAUCGAGAGGAACGCCGGAGGCGAAAGCGGGGCACUGGGCCGAUUCUGACGCUGAGACCCGAAAGCGUGGGGAGCAAACAGGAUUAGAUACCCUGGUAGUCCACGCCGUAAACGAUGCACACUAGGUGUCGGAGGUUCUGAUGCCAUCGGCGCCGUAGGAAAACUACUAAGUGUGCCGCCUGGGGAGUACGGCCGCAAGGCUAAAACUUAAAGGAAUUGACGGGG
rnacentral:rRNA from 1 species